rnacentral:rRNA from 1 species
AUGGAGGGCAGAGAUGAUGUCAAAUCAGAUGAGAUCCUCCUGCCUGGGUUCCGGUUCCAUCCUACCGACGAAGAGCUGGUUAGUUUCUACCUCAAGAAGAAGAUCCAGCAGAAGCCCAUCUCCAUUGAGCUCAUCAGGCAGCAGGACAUCUACAAGUUUGAUCCAUGGGACCUCCCAAAGCUUGCUAGCACCAGCAGUGAGACAGAGUGGUACUUCUACUGCCCAAGGGACCGGAAAUAUCGCAAAAGCACGAGGCCAAACCGGGUCACAGCAACUGGGUUCUGGAAAGCCACAGGAACAGAUAGGCCGAUUUACUCCUCUGAGGGCACCAGAAUUUUCAAGAAGACCAGUUCGAUGGCGGCGCAACGGGCGCUGUCUCAUGCUUGGGGGGCUACAUUGCCUGGGGCACCUGAAGAACAACAUCUCCUCUCCGCCAUGCAACCGGUGCAAGCUUCACAUUUUGCUUCAGAGAGCUCCACAUCCUCAUUGCAAGUUGCAGCAGUGGCACCAUCAAAUCAUUUCAUCAGUUUCAACUGUGGUCCAUCUCAGCAAGUCCUCAAAGGUCCCAUCAUCUUGCCAUUCCAAACACAGGCGCCAUCAGGCAAGACCAUGCGCACUGUGCCACCACCGCUCUUCUUCGAUGUAAAUUCCAGCAUGAGCUGCAGGGACCAAGAGUCAUCCACAACGAAGCGUGGCGGUAAUUUCAGGAACAAUGAGUGGGAAGCUCCAGAGAGACUCGACUUCCCAUUCGGUUUAGUAGAAGAUUCUUCAGAUGACUGGGAGUGCAACAUACCUUGGGAAUCCUUUCUUAGCCCAACAGUCCCUGCUGAGAUCCCACAGCACUAG